AAAAAGACAAACCCUGGUUUCCGUGCCAAACGUUUAACCGUCCGUCUUAUUUUAAAAAAUUAUAAAAAAAAUUAAAAAGACAAGUCACGCAUAAAAUAUUAACCAUGUUUUAUCAUCUAACAACAAUGAAAAUACGAAUUAUAAAAAAAUUUCAUAUAAGACAGACAGUCAAAGUUGGACACAGAAACCCAGGGUUUGCCUUUUU
rnacentral:pre_miRNA from 1 species